AAAAUAUUUAAUCUUAAACGGCAGAUUUACAGUUUUAGAUUUACAUUUGUAACAUUUUCUUUACUACGCGCUGUUAUAUAACCAAUAUCAUUGCUUUGGUCAUAUUCUGAUGCUUUUAUAAGGAAAAUUGUCCAACAGAACUCAGCACAUAAAAUACCGUGUGCAUGUGUGCCAUACUACUAGUUUUCAAACGUAAGUUUAAAGCGAAGCCAAGCCUGGAAAAUCGGAGCAAGUUCAAAAUCAUUCCAUACAAUCAUGUUAUUCUAUUCCUUCUUUAAGUCCCUGGUUGGCAAAGAUGUCGUUGUAGAAUUAAAGAACGACCUAAGUAUAUGCGGCACCUUGCAUUCAGUGGAUCAAUACUUGAAUAUUAAACUUACAGAUAUCAGUGUAACUGAUCCAGAGAAAUAUCCACAUAUGUUAUCCGUGAAGAAUUGUUUUGUCCGAGGAUCCGUCGUCCGAUACGUCCAACUUCCAGCUGACGAGGUUGACACCGGUUUACUUCAAGAUGCAGCGAGAAAAGAAGCGGUUCAAAGCAAACAAUGAACACUAUGACAUCACAAUGCGAUGAUGUCAUUAAUGAACACUUUGACAUCACAAUGUGAUGAUGUCAUUCGCUUUGAAGCGUUAUUUCAUUUCCAGCAAUUUUUUUUGCGUAUUUUUUUAUCGAUUUUUAUGUUUCUGAAUUUGUAUUCCCACCAAUUAAACUGAUCACCAAACACACUACACUGCCCAUUGGAACUUAAACUGAACACUCAAUAAAUAAAUUGAAACACC